GACGAACGCUGGCGGCGUGCCUAAUACAUGCAAGUCGAGCGCUUCUUUCCUCCCGAGUGCUUGCACUCAAUUGGAAAGAGGAGUGGCGGACGGGUGAGUAACACGUGGGUAACCUACCCUUCAGAGGGGGAUAACACUUGGAAACAGGUGCUAAUACCGCAUAACAGUUUAUGCCGCAUGGCAUAAGAGUGAAAGGCGCUUUCGGGUGUCGCUGAUGGAUGGACCCGCGGUGCAUUAGCUAGUUGGUGAGGUAACGGCUCACCAAGGCCACGAUGCAUAGCCGACCUGAGAGGGUGAUCGGCCACACUGGGACGGAGACACGGCCCAGACUCCUACGGGAGGGAGCAGUAGGGAAUCUUCGGCAAUGGACGAAAGUCUGACCGAGCAACGCCGCGUGAGUGAAGAAGGUGUUCGGAUCGUAAAACUCUGUUGUUAGAGAAGAACAAGGACGUUAGUAACUGAACGUCCCCUGACGGUAUCUAACCAGAAAGCCACGGCUAACUACGUG
rnacentral:rRNA from 1 species